ACAGGUGUGUUCUACAGGUGUGUUCUACAGGUGUGUUCUACAGGUGUGUUCUACAGGUCUUUAUGAUGGGAGGUAUUAGACCAUUCUCCUUGUAUGACUGGUGGAGGAGAGACAGGUGUGUUCUACAGGUCUUUAUGAUGGGAGGUAUUAGACCAUUCUCCUUGUAUGACUGGUGGAGGAGAGUCAGGUGUGUUCUACAGGUGUGUUCUACAGGUCUUUAUGAUGGGAGGUAUUAGACCAUUCUCCUUGUAUGACUGGUGGAGGAGAGACAGGUGUGUUCUACAGGUCUUUAUGAUGGGAGGUAUUAGACCAUUCUCCUUGUAUGACUGGUGGAGGAGAGACAGGUGUGUUCUACAGGUCUUUAUGAUGGGAGGUAUUAGACCAUUCUCCUUGUAUGACUGGUGGAGGAGAGACAGGUGUGUUCUACAGGUGUG
rnacentral:lncRNA from 1 species